CGUAUCCGCAUGUAUUUGUGAUUAAAGGUGGCUUUUGGGCUGUCGCAGAUGGAUGACCUUGCGUUGGAUUAGCUAGUUGGUGGGGUAAGGGCUUACCAAGGUUACGAUCCAUAGCUGAUUUGAGAGGAUGAUCAGCCACAUUGGGACUGAGACACGGCCCAAACUCUUACCGGGAGCAGCAGUGAGGAAUAUUGGACAAUGGGGGCAACCCUGAUCCAGCAAUGCCAUGUGUGUGAAGAAGGCCUUAGGGUUGUAAAGCACUUUAGUUGGGGAAGAAAGCUUUGAGGUUAAUAGCCUUGAGGAAGGACGUUACCCAAAGAAUAAGCACCGGCUAACUCCGUGCCAGCAGCCGCGGUAAUACGGGGGGUGCAAGCGUUAAUCGGAAUUACUGGGCGUAAAGGGUCUGUAGGUGGUUUGUUAAGUCAGAUGUGAAAGCCCAGGGCUCAACCUUGGAACUGCAUUUGAUACUGGCAAACUAGAGUACGGUAGAGGAAUGGGGAAUUUCUGGUGUAGCGGUGAAAUGCGUAGAGAUCAGAAGGAACACCAAUGGCGAAGGCAACAUUCUGGACCGAUACUGACACUGAGGGACGAAAGCGUGGGGAUCAAACAGGAUUAGAUACCCUGGUAGUCCAUGCUGUAAACGAUGAGUACUAGCUGUUGGAGUCGGUGUAAAGGCUCUAGUGGCGCAGCUAACGCGAUAAGUACUCCGCCUGGGGACUACGGCCGCAAGGCUAAAACUCAAAGGAAUUGACGGGGACCCGCACAAGCGGUGGAGCAUGUGGUUUAAUUCGAUGCAACGCGAAGAACCUUACCUGGUCUUGACAUCCUGCGAGCUUUCUAGAGAUAGAUUGGUGCCUUCGGGAACGCAGUGACAGGUGCUGCACGGCUGUUGUCAGCUCGUGUUGUGAAAUGUUGGGUUAAGUCCCGCAACGAGCGCAACCCCUAUUGAUAGUUACCAUCAUUAAGUUGGGUACUCUAUUGAGACUGCCGCUGACAAGGCGGAGGAAGGUGGGGACGACGUCAAGUCAUCAUGGCCCUUACGACCAGGGCUACACACGUGCUACAAUGGUAUACAGA
rnacentral:rRNA from 1 species